GUUUUAAGUCGACCUUUAUAGUCUAAUCUUCAAUGAUACUAAUUAAUCUCCACAUCUUACUGUUGUUGAAGUGGAGUCAGUGGUUGAAGCAUUUGAGAGACUUGGAACCAGAAGGGAGUUUAAAAGGUCAAUCAAUUCAUUGAAGUUCGACCUGGAAUAGUUGUUAAAGAUGAGAGUGGAAACAUCCUGGAGGCCUAAUUGGUGUUGGAACAACGAUGGAUACCACUUUAACUCGUGCUGACAGGUUGGUAGGGCAAGUUAUCGGAGAGGUUGGAUCACGGCCCGAGGUUUUUGUGGAACUUGAGGUAAACUAUUUCUUGCUUCGACGAAUUCUUGGUGUUAGAACUAAAGGUUCGGAGAGACAAGGAACAGUCGCAAAGCUGGCAAAAGGAGAGAUGCUUAUGUUGAACAUAUGAUCAAUGUUAACAGGUCCCGGAGUCGUUGAGGUGAAGAAUGACUUGGCGAAAUUGCAACUUACUUCCCCUGUGUGCACCAGCACGACAUGUUUUCGAAUUUGAUA